ensembl:lncRNA
UUUCCAUGCUGCGCCAGCUGUGUGUGUGAGUGUCUGUGUGUGUGUGUGUCAGUGCCUCACAACGCCAAGGGCUUCCAGAGAAGAGGAACUGAACUGUGGAGUCCAUCCUCCUGACCUGACGAAGGCCGCCUCCUCAUACCUGUGCCCCCGCAUCUCUGGGAUCCUCAGAGUCCAUCGUCUUAUGCGGCCGCUGCUGUCCUCUCCUCCUCCUCUGGCUGAGACCACCCUUCACCCACCCUCAGCUGCCCCUCAUGCCCAGGGCGCAGGCAGGGUUCCACCAUCACUCCUAGUCCUGCCUGCGUACGGUUGAGUGUUUGGGCGCACAAUGGCGACCAAGCUGCGCAUCGGGUUCUAUAUCCUGGCGGCAAGCUGCCUGCCCUUCCUCUACAUCCUGUGUGUGAGCCUUGAGAUUUGGGCGUCUGGCAGGUUACACACCUUUCUUGUCGGCAGCACAAGAGACACAAACUUGAAAAACAAAAACAAAAAAAAGCAACAACUGCCAUUUGCAG